rnacentral:misc_RNA from 1 species
AGUCAAACACAAAUUGCCAAGUUCGAAACUUCGAAACUUUGAGUCAACUAGACUACGAUUCAGUAACAGUACAUACAAGUAUUUAUUUUAUCUACAGUUGAAAAAUCUAUUCAAUCGCUACUUUCACUUUAGUGUUUACAAACAAGCAUGGCAAAUAAAGCUCCAGCCAUCGGCAUCGACCUGGGAACGACGUUUUCCUGUGUCGGUGUAUUUGAACAUGGAAAAGUGGAAAUCAUCGCCAACGACCAAGGAAACAGAACGACGUGUACAGUCCGACAUGAAACAUUGGCCGUUCACGGUGAUCAAUGAUGGAGGAAAACCCAAGCUAGAAGUGGAAUUCAAGAACGAGAAAAAGAGAUUUACCCCAGAAGAAAUCAGCUCAAUGGUGCUGACCAAAAUGAAGGAGACAGCAGAAGCUUACUUGGGACAAACUGUCCAAGACGCAGUCGUCACCGUUCCUGCCUAUUUCAACAACGCCCAGAGAGAGGCCACUAAAGACGCCGGAGUGAUAGCCGGUCUCAAUGUUCUCAGGAUAGUAAACGAACCCACAGCUGCCGCUCUAGCCUAUGGUCUGGAUAAGAACAUUUCCGGUGAGAAAAACGUUCUCAUCUUUGACCUCGGAGGUGGUACAUUUGACGUGUCCAUCCUUACCAUUGAUGAGGGCUCCAUAUUUGAGGUUCGCUCCACUGCAGGGGAUACUCACCUGGGAGGUGAAGAUUUCGACAACAGAAUGGUCAAUCACUUUGUGCAGGAAUUCAAGCGCAAGUACAACAAAGACAUUUCCAAAAAUAACCGUUCACUGAGACGACUCAGGACGGCUUGCGAGCGUGCCAAGAGAACACUGUCCAGCAGUUCUGAGGCCAACAUUGAGAUCGACUCGCUGUUUGAGGGAAUGGACUUCUACAGCAAAAUCACACGGGCUAGAUUUGAAGAAAUGUGUGCAGAUUUGUUCCGUGGAACCUUAGAACCCGUCGAGAAAGCCCUGCGGGAUGCCAAAAUGGACAAAUCUAAAAUUCACGAGGUGGUUCUGGUUGGAGGGUCGACACGAAUUCCAAAGAUCCAGAAAAUGCUGCAAGACUUCAUGGGCGGAAAAGAACUGAACAAAUCUAUCAACCCAGACGAGGCUGUGGCCUAUGGUGCCGCUGUCCAAGCGGCUAUUCUGAACGGAGAUAAGAGUGAUGUCAUCAAGGACGUUCUCCUGGUCGAUGUCACUCCAUUGUCUCUAGGCAUUGAAACUGCUGGAGGGGUCAUGACAAAGAUCGUCGAACGAAAUGCCAAGAUUCCUACCAAGGCAUCACAGACCUUCACCACAUACUCCGAUAACCAGCCCGGUGUAUCCAUUCAGGUGUUUGAAGGUGAACGAGCCAUGACAAGAGACAAUAACAAAUUAGGUACAUUUGAACUGAAUGGAAUUCCUCCAGCCCCUCGAGGUGUCCCACAGAUUGACGUGGAGUUUGACAUUGACGCCAAUGGUAUCUUAAACGUAUCAGCCAAGGACAAGAGCACGGGAAAGUCCAACAAAAUCACCAUCACCAACGACAAAGGUCGUCUGAGUAAGGCCGACAUUGAGAGAAUGGUGAACGAGGCCGAGAAAUACAAAGAGGAAGACGAUAAACAGCGUCAGAGGAUAGCGGCCCGUAAUCAGUUAGAAUCCUAUGUCUUCACCGUCAAACAGGCAGCAGAGGACACAGGAGACAAGCUUCAGUCUGAAGACAAAGAGACAAUAUCCAGGGUGUGCAGUGAAACAGUGUCCUGGCUCGACAACAAUGCCCUGGCAGAGGUUGACGAAUAUGAAUUCAAAUUGAAGGGGGUUCAGAAGGUGUGUUCACCCAUCAUGGCCAAACUACACCAGAACGGGUCCACGGGCAAUCCAGGACCAGCUAGUUCCAGUCAGGGACCGACUGUAGAGGAGAUGGACUAAGUCUGUAAUUGAAUGUACUAACUUUAAUUAAAAUAGAUCAAACGGGUGUUGUACUUUCUAUGAAAGUAAGCAAGAGUUGCCAAAAGACAUUAUGCAAUAUAACUGUGAUAUUUGUUAUUUAUAGUUUAAAAAUUUGUUCAUUUGUUAUUAUAUAAUAUUUUUUAUACAAUUAUACUUUUUUGAAUGCUAAUAAAAACUA